CAUGGGAUGCUACAUUGGUAAUG
rnacentral:tRNA from 2 species